rnacentral:sRNA from 1 species
UAGUUUUACCAAGAAGUCUGCAAAAAC